rnacentral:other from 1 species
AUAUCCCUGCGGUGCCCGUUGGCAAGUUGAUAAUUAUUGAACCAACACUAUUAUCGGGGGAGCCCGGUGAUUCCCUGCCGCUGUGGCGACAGGGAGAGGGCACCCACCUGAAUCUAACCGGUUCAGUGUAUCCUUCCAACGGCACUCUGCGGGGAUUUU